AAACGUGGCCUAAUACCACAGUGGGAGAAUCGUAAGAUUGAAAGGGAUAGACUUGAGAGAAGCUGUCAAGUGUUGGUCCAGUCAAGCUUUGACCACUCGUGGAACAUCAAUCCUCAUACUGAAAUAAUAUUGCCUUAAAGUUCUGUCUAAACACAACGGGCUUCGUAAGAUUUGCCGGACGACGUGACGGUGCGACAGUGCCAUUUAAUUGUACGUGGAAAUCUGAAAUUAUAUUUUCGGAAUUAUACAGAAAAUAUGAGACUGAGUCUAUAUAUCGUCGUAUUCUUAUUGAUAAUAGUAGCGACCACGGCGUUCAUAGUUCCGAUAAAAUUACGAUGGAAGCAUAAAAAAACGAGACAGAGAUUGAUUGAGCAACUUUGUAGACGCAAACCAAUUUCGCCACUUGCACUGCCGUGACGAUGAAGAGUCCGUCUGUUUAUCUACUUAUCUAUCUAUCUAUCGUUUUGGAAAGAAUUUGUAGAAUAAUCUCUCACAUGUAUGGUAUAAAUAUGCAAGAAUAAAUAAAAUACGCAUCAUGCAUCCUUAAA